GCUGGGCAUGGUGGUGCAUGCCUGUAAUCCCAGCUACUCGGGAGGCUGAGGCAGGAGAAUUGCUUGAACCCAGGGGACGGAGGGUGCAGUGAGCCGAGAUCGUGCCAUUGCACUCCAGCCUGGGUGACAGAGCAAGACUUUGUCUCAA
ensembl:misc_RNA Metazoa_SRP Metazoan signal recognition particle RNA